GGCUCAGGAUGAACGCUAGCGGCAGGCUUAACACAUGCAAGUCGAGGGGUAGAAGCAGCUUGCUGCUUUGAGACCGGCGCACGGGUGCGUAACGCGUAUGCAACCUACCUUUUACAGAGGGAUAGCCCAGAGAAAUUUGGAUUAAUACCUCAUGGUAUAUAUCAUUCGCAUGUUUGAUAUAUUAAAGUUCCAACGGUAAAAGAUGGGCAUGCGUCCUAUUAGCUAGAUGGUAAGGUAACGGCUUACCAUGGCAACGAUAGGUAGGGGUCCUGAGAGGGAGAUCCCCCACACUGGUACUGAGACACGGACCAGACUCCUACGGGAGGCAGCAGUGAGGAAUAUUGGUCAAUGGACGCAAGUCUGAACCAGCCAUGCCGCGUGCAGGAAGACGGUCCUAUGGAUUGUAAACUGCUUUUAUACAGGAAGAAACACUCCCUCGUGAGGGAAUUUGACGGUACUGUAGGAAUAAGGAUCGGCUAACUCCGUG
rnacentral:rRNA from 1 species